rnacentral:rRNA from 1 species
UACGGAGGGGCGAGCGUUAUUCGGAAUUAUUGGGCGUAAAGGGCGCGUAGGCGGCGCAACAAGGUCACUUGUGAAAUCGUCCGAGCUUAACUCGGAAAGGUCAACUGAUACUGUGCGGCUAGAGUGCGGAAGGGGCAACUGGAAUUCUUGGUGUAGCGGUGAAAUGCGUAGAUAUCAAGAGGAACACCUGCGGCGAAGGCGGGUGCUGGGCCGACACUGACGCUGAUGCGCGAAAGCUAGGGGGAGCGAACGGG